CUCGGGAGGGGGGGUCCCUCAGCCCAGAUUGCAAGAGGGUGCAGGCCAGGCCAAGGGACCCCACUGGUGCACA
rnacentral:pre_miRNA from 1 species